rnacentral:SRP_RNA from 1 species
GCCGGGCGCGGUGGCUCACGCCUGUAAUCCCAGCACUUUGGGAGGCCGAGGCGGGCGGAUCACAAGGUCAGGAAAUAGAGACCAUCCUGGCUAACAUGGACANUGUCCAUGUUAGCCAGGAUGGUCUCUAUUUCCUGACCUAGUGAUCCGCCCGCCUCAG